rnacentral:rRNA from 1 species
UACGUAGGGUGCGAGCGUUGUCCGGAAUUACUGGGCGUAAAGAGCUCGUAGGUGGUUUGUCGCGUUGUUCGUGAAAACCGGGGGCUUAACCCUCGGCGUGCGGGCGAUACGGGCAGACUUGAGUACUGCAGGGGAGACUGGAAUUCCUGGUGUAGCGGUGGAAUGCGCAGAUAUCAGGAGGAACACCGGUGGCGAAGGCGGGUCGCUGGGCAGUAACUGACGCUGAGGAGCGAAAGCGUGGGGAGCGAACAGG